rnacentral:ncRNA from 2 species
UUAAAUGCCGUGAAGAGAAAAGUAGACAGCGCGUAUUCUUAGCAGAGAGCUCCGGAAGCUGAAAAGGAGCAAGAGAAACGCUGUUGAAGCAAGCCUCUGAGCAGCGCAUUGGAUCUAACGUGAUAGUGCGACGGCUGCUUCCGUUACAAAGCUAGAGUAUAAGCGAAAGCCGUACUCGAUAAGGUUUAUAUGGCGACAUAUGAACAAACUAGGGUGGCACCGCGAUUCAUAAUCUCGCCCCUAAG